GACGAACGCUGGCGGCGUGCUUAACACAUGCCAGUCGAACGGAAAGGCCCUUCCUUUGUGGGGUGCUCGAGUGGCGAACGGGUGAUUAACCCGUGCGUACCCUGCCCUUGACUUUGGGAUAACUUAAGGAAACUUGGGCUAAUACCGGAUAGGAGCUCCUGCUCCAUGGUGGGGGUUGGAAAGUUCCGGCGGUUCGGGAUGGGCUCGCGGCUUAUCAGCUUGUUGUUGGGGGAGUGGCUGACCACGGCUUUGACGGGUAGGCGGCCUGUGAGGGUCAACGGCCACAUUGGGACUGAGAUAGGGCGCAGACGGCUACGGGAGGCAGCGGGGGGGAGUAUUGUACAAUGGGCGGGAGCGUGAGGCGGCAGCGCCGCGUGCGGGAUGAGGGCUUGUAGGGUGUGAAACGCUUUCGCCUGUGACGAGGCGUGAGUGACGGUAAUGGGAGAAGAAGCACCGGCUAACUACGUG
rnacentral:rRNA from 1 species